rnacentral:lncRNA from 1 species
UCAGACUUCUACCUGUCCGAUUUUCUGGCCACUUUCCUGGGUGGACUUUGAGCUAGGAGGCUCUGCCACCUUUCAGAUUUCUAGUGGGUGGGGAAUCUGAUUGGCUUGGGUUGCGUGGUCUUUUGAGUGUUGUUCCUUGCUUUGGCUUGAAACUCUCUUGCUUUUGUCCAUGUGACCUCAGGCCCGGUUCACAGACUCCAUGCCCAGACUCACCCUGAAUGUUUGUACCUGGUGGGGUGGGGGGAGGACACUUGUGUGCAAAACACAGUUUCUUCACGAGAAUCCAGUCUGUUCCAAACCAGUGCAUGGACUGCAUCGCACAAGUGAGCCCCCUUUUUCACAACCUGAGGACACAGUGGCUUUAGGCUAAGAGAGAAUGGCUUCGAAUUGCCACAACCUGAAGGGGAGAUUCAUCAAGGAAAGGUAACAUACCUGCUAAAGACCUUAAGAAAAGGGAAGUUGAGAACCAAGAAGUCUUUAAAAUAACUUCACUACCGGGUGUCACACAGGCUGGCUUCCCGAGUGCAACUUUAGAGUUUUUAAUAGGUUCCAUAAAGAGCUACGUAACCCACAGUCACCAGUAGAGGGCUCUCCAGAGCUACAGCCCCGAUUUGCCCUCUAGCGGCGAUUCUGAACAGAGUGUGUUUAUGCAGACUUGGGGCCUUCGACUGGCAAAAAAGCAGUUUGAGCAGACAUCUGGAACCAUUAGGUUCAACCAGCCAGGAGAGGGGUUUUCGAAUAGUAGCAGACUGAAGAGAUCCUAUUGCCAGAAUGAGACAUUCUUUCAGAAAAAGAUGGAUCAUUGCUCAUUGAGACAUUUGAGAGAAUAUGACCAUGAUAAUGAGAAAGGGCUACUUGUCAGUAAAACUAGUAGCUGA